CGCCAUGGUGGUGCGGGUGGCCUCGGCCCGCUCGGUCCGGGCGGCCUCGCCCGCUUCGGUGCCGGCCGUGGCGU
rnacentral:tRNA from 1 species